rnacentral:ncRNA from 1 species
GGUUCAUGGAGUGUAGAAUGAAAAGGGAACCCAGUGAAAUUCUGGGACUGUACCCUCAGCUGUAAGUUCAGAUGUAAGGGUUUUGCCACGAGAAAGCCACUAUACAGAAUCGUAUGGGAAGGCAGCGAAGCCUUGAAUAAGUCAGAAGACCUGCCAUUACAA